rnacentral:misc_RNA from 1 species
AAGUCGUAACAAGGUUUCCGUAGGUGAACCUGCGGAAGGAUCAUUUCUGAUUACUUUAGACUGCCCCCUUUUGGCUCUUUCUCUUUACGGGGGAAGAAAAAAAGGGGGGUUGUUCUAAAUUAUCGUGAUUGUGUGGUUAUAAACAAAAAAAAAGAGAAAUGAGACUUACUUUGGAUUAUGAGAUUUGAGCAAUCUUAUCUUUGUGAUCCAAGUUUCUCUCUUUCUUUUUUUCUUUAUUAAACUAAAAUAAAACGAUGAUUAUUUUAUUGUCAAUCUAAGAGUGGUUGUAGUCUUUUUAAGGCUACUUAAGCUCGACAAAAUUAACAAUAUACAACUAUCAACGGUGGAUCUCUUGGCUCGU